rnacentral:rRNA from 1 species
UGGGGAAUAUUGGACAAUGGGCGCAAGCCUGAUCCAGCCAUGCCGCGUGAGUGAUGAAGGCCCUAGGGUUGUAAAGCUCUUUCACCGGUGAAGAUAAUGACGGUAACCGGAGAAGAAGCCCCGGCUAACUUCGUGCCAGCAGCCGCGGUAAUACGAAGGGGGCUAGCGUUGUUCGGAUUUACUGGGCGUAAAGCGCACGUAGGCGGACUAUUAAGUCAGGGGUGAAAUCCCGGGGCUCAACCCCGGAACUGCCUUUGAUACUGGUAGUCUUGAGUUCGAGAGAGGUGAGGGGAAUUCCGAGUGUAGAGGUGAAAUUCGGAGAUAUUCGGAGGAACACCAGGGGCGAAGGCGGCUCACUGGCUCGAUACUGACGCUGGGGUGCGAAAGCGUGGGGAGCAAACAGG